CCUCUCAUGGCGUAGUGGUAACGCGCCCCAACUAGAGAUCGGGGAGUCGUGAGUUCGGUUCUCACUGAGAAGA
rfam:Aedes aegypti strain Liverpool supercont1.95 genomic scaffold, whole genome shotgun sequence.